rnacentral:lncRNA from 1 species
UUUUUAUCCCGGUGAUUAACAAUUCAAAGUAUACAUGCAAUCAAUCACAAGCAAUUAAAUAAAAAUCACAUAUUCAUGCUAAGGCUCAAGGCUUCGCCCUAGCAAAAGAAAUUAGUUACACAUAUUCAUAAUUGAAAUCAUAGAUAAUAUAAUUAAGAAAAUGAUUGAAAGCACCUUCAAGUAGAAAAUCUUCAAAACCCUAGCAAUUCUCUCUGUCUCCAAAAUUGCAUAAAAGAAAGCGUAGCAAAAAAAAAUGUGGUAGACGGCUAAGCCAUAUAUUUGCUAAACCACCAC